UUCAUCUCCAUAUAUUCAAUUCAAUGUUCUAAAUAAAAUGUGUUCCUGAAUUGUUGUAUGAGCAUGUAAUGUUGAUUUGAAUCUGAGUUAUGGUUUUAAUGCUCAUAAUAUUGUUUUACAAUUUAACAUCUUAGCCUUGGUAAAAUUCUCUGCAAUAGUUUUUUUGUUGAAUAUGGUUGAGUUUUCAAGGGAGAGAUACCAGGCUCCGAAAUUCCUCGACGGUUACAGUUUUCCUUAUAUUUCUGCCUCUGUUCCAAUCUGUGUGCACAACCUUAUGCAUUGGUAUGAGAGACUUCGAUCCUUUUGAUCCCUAAUAUUGUCGAUGCUCUGUUAGAAUCGAUGAAGGAAAAGCUUGAAGUCCGGACUGAUAUGCACCAAGAAGUUCCAGGUGUUUAUGGCUCAUAUAGGGAUUUUGAGGUGUAUUUGUUGGGGCAAAUGAAAUGUUGAUAAAAUGUUGGUAUAAAGAAAUGAAGAAAUCAAGCCCAAAAUGAAAGGCCCAAUCCAAUUCUUGACAAUGCCAUGUCAUCAAUCCAUGUGCUUCUUUCUCCACCAUUGGAUUUGUAACUAUAGGAAAAGAUGACAAUUUUGAGCAUGAAUCCAUGUGCUUUUUUUUUUUAGAUCAAUAGGAGUGUUAUCCUUUACCAAAGAAUUUAUCUAUAAAUAGGAGUCUCAUUUCACCAUUUCAAGCACACAUUCUCUUACACCACUUCUUCCAUCUCU